GGAUUUCCAUGACCGUGGGAACACUGAGCUCUGUGGAGAGGCGAUCCCGUGCACAAAAAUGACCUACUCCAUCUUCAGAUCUUCUCUUCAGCUCCUUUCUGAAGGAAAUCUGAAACUGCGACGCCAGCCAAGAAGUGGACCAAUGAGCCUGUCACCUAGAUUACUUCAAACCAGCUUUG